GCGGGUGUGGCGGAACUGGCAGACGCAGCACAUCGACAAUGUGUGGGACGCAAGUCCAUGGGGGUUCGAGUCCCCCCGCCCGCA
rnacentral:tRNA from 1 species